CGAACGGGUGAGUAACGUGUGAGGAACCUGCCUCAAAGAGGGGGACAACAGUUGGAAACGACUGCUAAUACCGCAUAAGCCCACAGGUCGGCAUCGACCAGAGGGAAAAGGAGCAAUCCGCUUUGAGAUGGCCUCGCGUCCGAUUAGCUAGUUGGUGAGGUAACGGCCCACCAAGGCAACGAUCGGUAGCCGGACUGAGAGGUUGAACGGCCACAUUGGGACUGAGACACGGCCCAG
rnacentral:rRNA from 1 species